GACGAACGCUGGCGGCGUGCUUAACACAUGCAAGUCGAACGGAAAGGCCCUGCUUUUGUGGGGUGCUCGAGUGGCGAACGGGUGAGUAACACGUGAGUAACCUGCCCUUGACUUUGGGAUAACUUCAGGAAACUGGGGCUAAUACCGGAUAGGAGCUCCUGCUGCAUGGUGGGGGUUGGAAAGUUUCGGCGGUUGGGGAUGGACUCGCGGCUUAUCAGCUUGUUGGUGGGGUAGUGGCAUACCAAGGCUUUGACGGGUAGCCGGCCUGAGAGGUUGGACGGCCACCUGGGUCCUAGGGUAGGCCGCAGCACCCAAGGGGAGGCAACGGGGGGAAGUAUGACGGAGCGGCGGGGCGCGAGUGAUGAAGGCCCCCGGAGCGGAAAACGGGCUUAUGGGUGAAAAACAGAUUUGCCAGGAACCGAGGAGAUAUUGACGGUAAUGGAUAAGGAAGCCCCGGCUAACUACGU
rnacentral:rRNA from 1 species